UACGUAGGUGGCAAGCGUUAUCCGGAAUUAUUGGGCGUAAAGCGCGCGUAGGUGGAUUAUUAAGUUGGAUGUGAAAUCCCUGGGCUUAACCUAGGAAUUGCAUUCAAAACUGCUAGUCUAGAGUACAGUAGAGGGAAGUGGAAUUUCCGGUGUAGCGGUGAAAUGCGUAGAUAUCGGAAAGAACAUCAGUGGCGAAGGCGACUUCCUGGACUGAUACUGACACUGAGGUGCGAAAGCGUGGGGAGCAAACAGG
rnacentral:rRNA from 1 species